CCUUCAAAUCAUAACAACUAGUAAAUCUUAGACUAUUUUAGUAUAUACAGUUAUGAUCUAUUUUAGGUUUAACAGCCUUUACCAAGAAAAAGUAGUAGUAA